rnacentral:rRNA from 1 species
UACAGAGGGUGCGAGCGUUGUUCGGAAUUAUUGGGCGUAAAGCGCUUGUAGGCGGCACGUCAAGUCGCGUGUGAAAUCCCCAGGCUUAACCUGGGAAGUGCGCGCGAAACUGACGAGCUUGAGUGCCGGAGAGGGUCGCGGAAUUCCCGGUGUAUAGGUGAAAUUCGUAGAUAUCGGGAGGAACACCAGUGGCGAAGGCGGCGACCUGGACGGACACUGACGCUGAGACGCGAAAGCGUGGGGAGCAAACAGG